rnacentral:rRNA from 1 species
GACGAACGCUGGCGGCGUGCCUAAUACAUGCAAGUUGAGCGCUGAAGGUUGGUACUUGUACCGACUGGAUGAGCAGCGAACGGGUGAGUAACGCGUGGGGAAUCUGCCUUUGAGCGGGGGACAACAUUUGGAAACGAAUGCUAAUACCGCAUAAAAACUUUAAACACAAGUUUUAAGUUUGAAAGAUGCAAUUGCAUCACUCAAAGAUGAUCCCGCGUUGUAUUAGCUAGUUGGUGAGGUAAAGGCUCACCAAGGCGAUGAUACAUAGCCGACCUGAGAGGGUGAUCGGCCACAUUGGGACGGAGACACGGCCCAAACUCCUACGGGAGGCAGCAGUAGGGAAUCUUCGGCAAUGGACGAAAGUCUGACCGAGCAACGCCGCGUGAGUGAAGAAGGUUUUCGGAUCGGAAAACUCUGUUGGUAGAGAAGAACGUUGGUGAGAGUGGAAAGCUCAUCAAGUGACGGUAACUACCCAGAAAGGGACGGCUAACUACGUG